UAAAUAUUGAGUGAUGCCAUUAGAUCUAGCAUUCUAGACUUCAAAGGCAAUUUAUGGUGAAUGAAUGAAUGAAUAAUGAAGCCAUUUCAUGUUUAGUUCUACAGGAUAUACAAUGCAGAAAGCAGACUGGAACAAAGCUACUAAAAUGCUUUUAUAUAAAUCAGAAGAAAACUGAAUACCUAAGAGUUGCCUUAAGAUCCCAGCAGGUUCUGGGAGAUCCAUACUGUGGGAGAGAACGAUGUGCCUCUAAGGAAGUCUUUAAAGGAACAAGACAAUCUGGAACAAAGGGAAAGUCAGGCUGCAGAAUUAAUUUCUUUUUUUCCUGCUAGGGCUCCAAAUCUUCCCACCUCCGGUCCAGUGAAAGUCUGGUUCAGAAGUGACAGUUUGUAGCCCAAGCUCAAUCUCUCUCAGCCCCUAUCAAAGGGUACCCCGAAGGCUCCAAGCUCUUAGCACAGUCCUUCACCCCACAGAUGUCCCUCACCCCACAGACUUCCUCCCCUGUCCACCUCCGCCACAGGAAGCAGAUGGUUUUCCCUUCCUGACCUUUCUAACUGGAUUUAGGGACCUCUUGAAGUAAUUUCAAUCACAUAAGGAAGUGACAUGGUUAACUGAAAGAAAUGAAAACACCAAGACUCAAAAGAUUUGGAUCUAGUCUUGUUUCUGCCACCAACCAGCGCUGAGUCUUCUUUCUGAACUCACCACAGAACCAACUGACUUUCUUCAGUGUUUGUCUGAUUUAAUCCCUGCAACAUUUGACAUUAUUGAUAAAAUGCUUCUAAUAAAAAAUGAAAAUAAUUUCUUACGAAACA
rnacentral:lncRNA from 1 species